AGAACGAACGCUGGCGGCAUGCCUAACACAUGCAAGUCGAACGAGACCUUCGGGUCUAGUGGCGCACGGGUGCGUAACGCGUGGGAAUCUGCCCUUAGGUACGGAAUAACAGUGAGAAAUUACUGCUAAUACCGUAUGAUGUCUUCGGACCAAAGAUUUAUCGCCUAGGGAUGAGCCCGCGUUGGAUUAGCUAGUUGGUGGGGUAAAGGCCUACCAAGGCGACGAUCCAUAGCUGGUCUGAGAGGAUGAUCAGCCACACUGGGACUGAGACACGGCCCAGACUCCUACGGGAGGCAGCAGUGGGGAAUAUUGGACAAUGGGCGCAAGCCUGAUCCAGCAAUGCCGCGUGUGUGAAGAAGGCCCUCGGGUUGUAAAGCACUUUUAUCAGGAACGAAAUACCGCGGGUUAAUAACCGUACGGGGCUAGACGGUACCUGAGGAAUAAGCACCGGCUAACUCGUGCCAGCAGCCG
rnacentral:rRNA from 1 species